AACGAACGCUGGCGGCAGGCCUAACACAUGCAAGUCGAACGAAGUCUUCGGACUUAGUGGCGCACGGGUGAGUAACACGUGGGAAUAUACCUUACGCUGGGGAUAACAUCGGGAAACUGAUGCUAAUACCGCAUACGCCCUUCGGGGGAAAGAUUUAUCGGCGAAAGAUUAGCCCGCGUCCGAUUAGCUAGUUGGUGAGGUAAUGGCUCACCAAGGCUCCGAUCGGUAGCUGGUCUGAGAGGAUGACCAGCCACACUGGGACUGAGACACGGCCCAGACUCCUACGGGAGGCAGCAGUGGGGAAUAUUGGACAAUGGGCGCAAGCCUGAUCCAGCCAUGCCGCGUGAGUGAUGAAGGCCUUAGGGUUGUAAAGCUCUUUCACCCACGACGAUGAUGACGGUAGUGGGAGAAGAAGCCCCGGCUAACUUCGUG
rnacentral:rRNA from 1 species